UACAGAGGGGGCAAGCGUUGUUCGGAAUUACUGGGCGUAAAGGGCGCGUAGGCGGCCGCCUAAGUCAGACGUGAAAUCCCUCGGCUCAACCGGGGAACUGCGUCUGAUACUGGGUGGCUUGAAUCCGGGAGAGGGAUGCGGAAUUCCAGGUGUAGCGGUGAAAUGCGUAGAUAUCAGGAGGAACACCGGUGGCGAAGGCGGCUCUCUGGACGGUGACUGACGCUGAGACGCGAAAGCGUGGGGAGCAAACAGG
rnacentral:rRNA from 1 species